ensembl:misc_RNA
UAUCGGAGAAUAAUUUCUGUCUCCCUGAUCACCUAACCUCUACUGACGAGGCUAGGAAGUUGCAGAAGC